UAAUCUCAUGCCUCUGGUGUUACGUGGGAACCGAGAUGAGGAGGAAAAUGGGUCUCUGAAGGUUACUCCAUUUCCACCAGGGGGUUCUUGCAGCUCCCCAGCCCGCUUUGCUCUGGGGAGGGAGCAGGGAUGAUCUGCAGAGGGCUGAUCUGGUGCCUCAUUGUCCUCACUGCUAGGAAAACCCAACUGAAAUCUGGGAAUCCUUUCUUAAUCCAGUACUCCUCUGGAAUACCUUCUGAAUCAAGACUCUCAAAGGUGCAUCUGCAGCAGGGAGUGAGGCUCACGUUGAGGCUGCUGCCUCUUCUAGGCUGUCUUUGGAGACCUUCAGUGGAGGGGGGACAGUUGGGCUUUCCAGGUUUAAUUUCCGCUUGAGAGGCUCCGCUCGCUUACACGGGGUCUGACCCGGCUAUUGAAACUGAGCAACCAGAAGAACACCUCUCUCCAAAGUGUCGUCUCUCUGGAUGGAGGAGGAACGUGAAUAUUUAUGAGCUGUUACUCAUUUACACUGGCUGAACAACCCCAUCUCUCUCAGCCUGUCCUGGGAUGGGAGGUUCUCCAGCCCUUGCAUUGUCUCCAUGGCCUCCUCUGGAGUCGCUCCAACAGCUCCAUGUCCUUCCUGUGCUGAGGACUCCAGAACUGGACGCAGGACUUACAGACUGACUGCUGGGGUGCCAGAAAUUACGGUUCUGUUGAGCGCGACCACGUUUCACGGUUUGGAACCCACCGAGAUGGACAACACAGCACUUGAAAAGGCUCACAGGAGGAAAAUCACAAGGAAGUCACAAAUUGCUGGAAAAAUUGGAGUUGGAAAGCAAAAGGGAUUUCCUUGGAGCCCGCGCUGGAUGACAUUAUAGAGAAUCCCCUGCUCUUAUUUUGGGUGAAUACUUGUAAAUUGGAGCCCAGGUGUGUGUGAGUACUUUAAAUUGUUUCUUCCAUGUGCCUUCCUUGCGUUACACUGCAAAGAUAUUAACAAUGGUAUUUGCAAUCUUUCUUCUAACUUAAUUCUUCAAAGUCUUCUCUGUUUCUGAUUAGGAAAAAUACCUUUAUAUCAUUAACAAACUUUGCUGCCUCAGACCCGCCUUUUGAUGUAAUUGGAAAUAAGUGAUGGAGCUCAGCCACGCAGCCGUGAGGCCUUAAGCCUUUUGCUGUCAAGAAAGCUACACAUUUAUUUCCACUCCUUGCAUUGUGCCUCCUCGCCAACCUUUCACACUGGAUCCCAUUUACUCAGAAGCAUCAGGACUAUUUGGUCCCCAAAAGAGAAGAUUCACGCAGAAUAAUUUUGCCAGCUAAGCCUCCAAGUUUAAAUACAGUUUAGAGUAUUUCUUUGGCCUCAAAAUCAUUAAUAGCUUUUUAUGCAAUCAAUCAAAGUGUGGUGAUAGAGCUCUUCAGGCCGAUGCACGUGUGACUAAAGUGCUGCUUAAGAAUAUAAACAUAUACAGAUCAGUUUCUAGAACUUCCCAGGGGUCUAAUAACUUCCCUUCGGGGAAAAAAAGCAUCAAAACAGGCCUUCGGACCUGAAGCUCCAAAAGACUUCCAACAGGCCCACACACAUCUAUUCAUGUGUAUUCUCUGCUCUUAGGUCUCUAGUUUGUUCAU